rnacentral:sRNA from 1 species
UCUACCCAGUGUUUUCCAGGUGAAAGUACUGCUUAGAACUCAGCGUCUUAUGACUGGCUGUUCCUGAGCAGCUAUUCAUAGGAGAAAAUGGAUUGAUUUCCACGGGGGAAUAGUUAAGGUCAAUGGCUGUCUGCUUGACCCUGUGCCUCCUGUCCUGGUGCGGAAGGGAUGCCAGUCACUGCCCAGCAACAUGAUGGAGACCUCCAUUGACGAAGGGCUGGAGACAGAAGGAGAGGCCGAGGAAGACCCCGCUCAUGCCUUUGAGGCAUUUCAGUCCACACGCAGCGGGCAGAGACGGCACACUCUGUCAGAAGUGACCAAUCAACUGGUCGUGAUGCCUGGGGCAGGGAAAAUUUUCUCCAUGAAUGACAGCCCCUCCCUUGACAGCGUGGACUCUGAGUAUGAUAUGGGGUCUGUUCAGAGGGACCUGAACUUUCUGGAAGACAACCCUUCCCUUAAGGACAUCAUGUUAGCCAAUCAGCCUUCACCCCGGAUGACAUCUCCCUUCAUAAGCCUGAGACCUACCAACCCAGCCAUGCAGGCU